rnacentral:rRNA from 1 species
CCUACGGGUGGCUGCAGUGAGGAAUAUUGGUCAAUGGACGAGAGUCUGAACCAGCCAAGUAGCGUGAAGGAUGACUGCCCUAUGGGUUGUAAACUUCUUUUAUAUGGGAAUAAAAUGUUCCACGUGUGGGAUUUUGUAUGUACCAUAUUAAUUUGGAUCGUCUAACUCCGUGCCAGCCGCCCCGGUAAUACGGAGGAUCCGAGCGUUAUCCGGUUUUAUUGGGUUUAAAGGGAGCGUAGGUGGAUUGUUAAGUCAGUUGUGAAAGUUUGCGGCUCAACCGUAAAAUUGCAGUUGAAACUGGCGGACGUGAGUACAGUAGAGGUGGGCGGAAGUCGUGGUGUAGCGGUGGAAUGCGUAGAUAUAACGAAGAACUCCGAUGGCGAAGGCAGUUCACUGGACUGCAACUGACACUGAGGCUCGAAAGUGUGGGUAUCGAACAGGAUUAGAUACCCGAGUAGUC